CAUACGUGAGGCAGCAGUGGGGACUAUUGGGCAAUGUAGGCAACUCUGACCCAGCAAUUCCGCGUGAGUGAUGAAGGUAAUUUUAUUUUAAAGCUCUUUUCUUUGGAACGAAUAAAUGACGGUACCAAAGAAAUAAGCCCCGGCUAACUACGUGCCAUCAGCCGCGGUAAUACGUAGGGGGCAAGCGUGGUUCGGAAUGACUGGGCGUAAAGGGUGUGUAGGUGAUUUGAUAAGUUAGAUGUGUAAUACCCAUGGCUUAACUCGGGUGCUGCAUCUAACACUGUUAGACUUGAGUACUGGAGAGGAUAGUGGAAUACCUAGUGUAGCGGUGGAAUGCGUAGAUAUUAGGAGGAACAUCAGUGGCGAAGGCGACUAUCUGGACAGCAACUGACACUGAGGCACGAAAGCGUGGGGAGCAAACAGGAUUAGAUACCCGUGUAGUC
rnacentral:rRNA from 1 species